GAGUUUGAUCAUGGCUCAGGAUGAACGCUGGCGGCGUGCCUAAUACAGCAAGUCGAACGAGGGCAGCCUUGUAGCAAUACGAGGCUGUUCCUAGUGGCGAAUGGGUGAGUAACACGUAGGCGACCUGCCCCGGAGAGGGGGAUAACCCCGCGAAAGCGGGGCUAAUACCCCGUACGUUCCGAGGGGUUAGAGGCCCUCGGAGGAAAGGCUUGCGCAAGCGAGCCGCUCUGGGAGGGGCCUGCGGCCCAUCAGCUUGUUGGUAGGGUAACGGCCUACCAAGGCGACGACGGGUAGGGGGCCUGAGAGGGUGGUCCCCCACACUGGCACUGAAACACGGGCCAGACACCUACGGGUGGCAGCAGUAGGGAAUAUUGCACAAUGGGCGAAAGCCUGAUGCAGCAACGCCGCGUGCGCGAUGACGGCCUUCGGGUUGUAAAGCGCUUUUCGGGGGGAUGAGGAUGACGGUAGCUAAUGAAUAAGCCACGGCUAACUACGUGCCAGCAGCCGCGGUAAUAC
rnacentral:rRNA from 1 species